CCGGCCUUAGGUGGCUCAUUGGCCUCCCGCCAUUCGGACAUUCGAACGCUCCUUCUCUGCAUUUGACCAUCUGCUCUCCACUCCCUCUACUUUGUCCAAUCUUGACAGCAUGAAUUCCAAACCAGCUGGGAAGGGCAUUGAUUUGUGGUCCGAGUUAAUAGCUAGCGAAGGAAGCGAGGGCCAAGAAGAGGCGCGAGUAGAAGAGGUUUAUAGACGAAGAAGGCCAUCCCAGAAGACCGUUCAUGAAGUUCCUUUGAAGCAAAACUUAGGUUCGAAUCUUCGCGAUGUGAACAGAUUGAGUUUUGCUGCUGUUAACAGUAAGAGAAUUAGUUGGAACCGUGCCCUUUCCAUCAGAGGUAGGGCGAGUAUUGCAGUUGAGGCUUGUUUAGAUCAUCAGCUUCGGCAUAAGGAGGCAAAGAGAAAAGGAAAACCUGCUCUACCCAAAGGAAAGUUUGUACAACCUACCAACUUUGACAGGGAGCGUGCAUACUUUCAAGAGGUAGAUGCUUUUGAGUUGUUGGAGGAGAGCCCUUCACCCAAGAGAUUCGGUACAUGGGCAAGUAGUCAGUUUGAUAGUGCUGCAUUACCAUCUCUAUGCUCUAAAAUAGAAAAAUGGUUAAUUUCCAAGAAAUCAAAUUACAGUCUUGCACCUUCAAGCACGUUAUCAAAGAUAUUAGAAACUCCACUGGAGUCCAGAGAACCAAUUGGUGGCAAACAUUUGGACAAAUUCAAUUUGGGAACUCCUGAUAAGUCUGCUAGAGAGAUAGAUGCGCGCUUGUGCUCUAUUCAGAGAAGAUUUAUUUCCAGUCUAAAUGAUAUCGAUGCCCUUGAAAUAGAUAGCACUCGAGACAACAGAAGUACCAGAGCAGAAGAUGUGAGCACAGAGGAUCGUGCAGACCUUGAAGUUUCUGUGAAAAAACUUUCUUUAACAUCAACAUCUACUUCUUUCCAUAACUAUAAUUUGGAUCCAUUUAAUGCAUUAUUAGCAGUUUGUGGACAGUCAGCUCCUUCCACGCUUAAGGAUGCAUUCUCUAAUUAUUGUGACCCGGAAACUAUUGUCAAGGUUGGUGAAGGUACAUAUGGAGAAGCUUUUAAAGCUGGUAACACCGUUUGCAAGAUAGUUCCAAUUGACGGAGAUUUACAAGUUAAUGGAGAAGUGCAAAAGAGAUCAGAAGAACUGCUCGAGGAAGUCAUACUUUCCAGAACUCUGAAUUCUCUAAGAAAUCAAGAGGGCGGUGCUGAUAAUUUUUGCUCAACAUUCAUACGAACCAUAGAUUUAAGGGUGUGCCAAGGUUCUUAUGAUGCUCUACUAAUCAAGGCUUGGGAAGAUUGGGAUGAAAAGCAUGGCUCGGAAAAUGAUCACCCUAAGGAGUUUCCAGAGAAACAGUGUUAUGUGGUGUUUGUUCUCCAACAUGGGGGAAAAGAUCUUGAAAGCUUUGUACUCCUGAACUUUGAUGAAGCCCAGAGCUUAUUAGUACAGGUUACUGCGGCCUUGGCUGUGGCUGAAGCUGCUUAUGAAUUUGAACACCGAGAUCUGCAUUGGGGAAAUGUACUUUUGAGUCGGAAUGAUUCUGAAGCGCUGCAGUUCACCCUUGAGGGUAAGAACAUGACCGUACAAACAUUUGGACUUCAGAUUUCGAUCAUUGACUUCACCCUAUCGCGAAUCAAUACUGGUGAAGACAUACUCUUUUUAGAUCUCUCAUCGGAUCCUGAUCUCUUUAAGGGUGCAAAAGGAGAUAGACAAUCAGAAACAUAUAGGAAAAUGAAGGAGGUGACUGGAGACUGCUGGGAGGGGAGGUACAAGUGUUUAUGCGUUUAUCUUUCUAUCAUAUCUGAAUCAAUUAUAGAGCUUUCCUAGAACGAACGUCCUGUGGUUACUCUACCUUGUGCAUAUAUUACUUCUGAAGAAAUCAUUCGAGCGUAGUUCAAAGCAUGAAAGGGAACUGCGGGCAUUCAAGAAACGUCUGGACAAAUAUAACUCAGCAAAAGAAGCAAUUUUUGAUCCAUUUUUCAAUGAGUUGAUUUUUUGGUCAAGCAGUGUGGAGUAGAGCUGGAUGAUUUUAGACUCCAACACGAAGUAGAAUGAAGUCCUGAUAUUGCUCCCUGCCGGUGGAUGUAAAUUAAUCUUUGUAUUUGUAAUGUUUAAAAAUUUAUAGACUAAAUUAACACAAAUGUAAACUAUAAUGACAACAGGUAUAUCUUAAGAACCUUUCUUUUACUUUAAAUUGUUAGGCUAUCUUGUUCCUCAACAGUGACUUUUCUCUUUUCAUCAUGAUUUAUCUCUGAGUUGUUAUAAUUAUGGAAAAUUAAAAGCAAACUUAUCAGAGA